rnacentral:rRNA from 1 species
AACGGCCGCGGUAUCCUAACCGUGCGAAGGUAGCGUAAUCACUUGUUCUUUAAAUGAGGACUAGUAUGAAUGGCACCACGAGGGUUAAACUGUCUCCUUUUUUUAAUCAGUGAAACUAAUCUCCCCGUGAAGAAGCGGGGAUUCUUUUAUAAGACGAGAAGACCCUAUGGAGCUUUAAACAAGUUAACACCUGCUACUAAUCNNUUCACUUUCCUGAACCACCACAUUAAGUAUAGCACCUCUGAUUAACAGUUUUCGAUUGGGGUGAUCAUGGAGCAAAAAUCAACCUCCACGACGAAAAGGAACACCUCCUUGAGCCAAAAGCUACAACUUUAAGCACUAAAAAACUAACGCACUUUGACCCAAUUAUUUGAGCAACGAACCAAGUUACCCUAGGGAUAACAGCGCAAUCCACUUUAAGAGCUCCUAUCGACAAGUGGGUUUACGACCUCGAUGUUGGAUCAGGGUAUCCCAGUGGUGCAGCCGCUACUAAAGGUUCGUUUGUUCAACGAUUAAAACCCUACGUGAUCUGAGUUCAGACCGGAGUAAUCCAGGUCAGUUUCUAUCUAUAAAGGGCUUUUUCUAGUACGAAAGGACCGAAAAAGCAUGGCCUAUAACCCAUCAAGCCAUAUAAAUUACUAUUGUUCCCAACUUAAAUAGAAGUAAACCUACCACUUAUCUCGAUAAAAGAGAAGUUAACGUAGCAUAACCUGGCCUUGCAG